GCAGCUCAGUGGUAGAGCAUCUGCUUGGCAAGCAGAAGGUCUCAAGUUCAAUCUCCAGCAUCUCCA
rnacentral:tRNA from 1 species